rnacentral:tRNA from 2 species
ACUCCUGUAGCCCAACUGGAAGAGGCGGCUGUCUCAAAAACAGUCUGUGUAUGGGUUCAAAUCCCAUCGGGAGUACCA